CAGCCGCCACGGGAAUACGAAGGGGGCUAGCGUUGCUCGGAAUUACUGGGCGUAAAGGGAGCGUAGGCGGAUGAAUUAGUCAGGGGUGAAAUCCCGGGGCUCAACCUCGGAACUGCCUUUGAUACUGUUCAUCUUGAGUAUGGGAGAGAGGUGUGGAACUCCGAGUGUAGAGGUGAAAUUCGUAGAUAUUCGGAAGAACACCAGUGGCGAAGGCGGAUCUCUGGGCCAUUACUGACGCUGAGGAGCGAAAGCGUGGGGAGCGAACAGGAUUAGAUACCCCCGUAGUCCCUGUCUCUUAUAC
rnacentral:rRNA from 1 species